GACGAACGCUGGCGGCGUGCUUAACACAUGCAAGUCGAGCGGAACUUGAGAGCUUGCUCCCAAGUUUAGCGGCGGACGGGUGAGUAACACGUGGGUAAUCUGCCCUCAAGUGGGGAAUAACACAGAGAAAUCUGUGCUAAUACCGCAUAAUGUAUGCUGGUCGCAUGGUUGGCAUAAAAAAGAUUUAUUGCUUGAGGAUGAGCCCGCGGCCCAUUAGCUAGUUGGUGAGGUAAAGGCCCACCAAGGCCACGAUGGGUAGCCGACCUGAGAGGGUGAUCGGCCACAUUGGAACUGAGACACGGUCCAGACUCCUACGGGGGCAG
rnacentral:rRNA from 1 species